AUGUUUCUUGAGCACAUAGCAAUCCGACAGCAGUGGGAAGUCGGCAUGGAAACCAGCUGGAUGGCAGAGGGUUCCCUUCUCCGAGUUCCUCUGGCAAACUUAGUCUCAGUAGAGGAUCUGCUAUCAGUCUUUACACACUCAAGUAAAUGCAAGACCCAAUGUGGAUCCCCUUUCUCAAGAUACCGCCAAGGGAAGGGGACCAGAUGGAAACGGUAUUCUCUGCCCUCUCCCAGAGGUAAGCAGUCUUAUACUGGAGUCCAUAAACUACUUUAAAAACAAUUUUUAGCUGGAAAAAUCUACAUGAAUUGAUGCGGAGUGAAAUAAGCAGAACCAGAAGAACAGUGUACAGGAACAGCGAAAUUGAGGGAUGACCAACUGUGAAAGACUUGGUUCCUCUCAGCAAUCCGAUGAUCCAGGACAAUUCUGAAGGAUUUAGGACAAAGAAUGCUGUCCAUCUCUAGAGGAAAAACUAUUGGAGUCAAAUGCAGAUUAAAGCAUACUAUCUUCCACAUUUGUAUACUUAUAGUUUUAUUUGGGGGGUUGAUUUUAUACGAGAAUUAUCUUACAACAAUGUCCAAUAUGGACAUAAAUUUUGCAUGAUAAUACAUGUAUAACCCAGAUCAAAUGGCUUACCCUCUCCAAGAGGAUAGAGGGAUGGAAACUAUUUGGAUCUUAUACUUUUAGAAAAUCUAUGUUGAAAAUUGUUAUUACAUGUAAUUGGGAAAAUAAAAUAUCUUUGAAU
rnacentral:lncRNA from 1 species